rnacentral:rRNA from 1 species
CCUACGGGGGGCUGCAGUGGGGAAUAUUGCACAAUGGGCGCAAGCCUGAUGCAGCCAUGCCGCGUGUGUGAAGAAGGCCUUCGGGUUGUAAAGCACUUUCAGCGGGGAGGAAGGCGUUAAGGUUAAUAACCUUGGCGAUUGACGUUACCCGCAGAAGAAGCACCGGCUAACUCCGUGCCAGCAGCCGCGGUAAUACGGAGGGUGCAAGCGUUAAUCGGAAUUACUGGGCGUAAAGCGCACGCAGGCGGUCUGUCAAGUCGGAUGUGAAAUCCCCGGGCUCAACCUGGGAACUGCAUUCGAAACUGGGAGGCUAGAGUCUUGUAGAGGGGGGUAGAAUUCCAGGUGUAGCGGUGAAAUGCGUAGAGAUCUGGAGGAAUACCGGUGGCGAAGGCGGCCCCCUGGACAAAGACUGACGCUCAGGUGCGAAAGCGUGGGGAGCAAACAGGAUUAGAUACCCGUGUAGUC